rnacentral:rRNA from 1 species
AUACGAAAGGUGCAAGCGUUGUUCGGAUUUACUGGGCGUAAAGAGAUCGUAGGUGGUUUGUUAAGUCAGAUGUGAAAUCCCGGGGCUCAACCCCGGAACUGCAUUCGAUACUGGCAGACUAGAGUUUGGGAGGGGUAAGCGGAAUUCCGUGCGUAGCAGUGAAAUGCGUAGAUAUACGGAGGAACACCUGAGGCGAAGGCGGCUUACUGGACCAAUACUGACACUGAGGAUCGAAAGCGUGGGUAGCAAACAGGAUUAGAAACCCUAGUAGUCC